ACACCUGUGAGUCGGUGACUUCCUCUGCACGCUCAAUAUUACUUUGUGCACAUCUACUGCUUUUUUUGGCACUGGAACUGAAAACUCACAGAAAUAAGACAUGAAGCUUCCAAUAGCUUUGGAUUGAAGCUCUUAAUUGAAGCCAUACAAAGAUAUGUUCAACAGAUGUUUUUUU